GCCAGGACGUCCCACUCCUGGGAGCCACUCCCUCCCAGGGACAGACUCGGGAAUUCGCCACCCGACCUUAAGGAAGGUCACCUCUCCCCCGCCCUCGGUGGAGUGAUGAGAGUGUCCUGCGCUCGGGGAGUUGGGGGUCACCUGCCUGGCAUCUCCCCACACCUCUGGCCUCUCUGUGCUGCCCGUCACUUAUUCGGUGCCGGCCUCAGUGCCCACAUCUGUGAAAUGGGAACUGUGACAUCAUACACCUUCAAAGAUUCUUUUUGGAGCAUCCUACGGCAAUGCUCCUGCAGGCAUCUGUAAAUCAUUCAUGCACGUAAAAUACUGCGUCAUUUCAAAAGGUAUUCUCUGUGAUGGAGAGGGAAAAAACAACCCCCUCUGGGAACUGUGAGUGUGAGCUCAGGACAGCUGUGAGCAGGGCAUGCAGCGAGCUCUGUGGCCCCAGAGCCGGGGCAGCAGCAUGAAGGGAGGCUGGACUGUGGGCGGAGACGGACCCAACCCCGCAGGACUCCGCCGCGGCCCGGAGCCAGGGCUGGUCCCUCGCCUCCCGCCUUCCCCUCCAAACGGUUUCCAGGAAAGGCACUGUUGCCAUGGGAACACAUGUCCAAUUAUUCUACUUGCAGAAAAUCACUCAUCAGCCAACUUGGCUGGAACAUAUUCUGUCUCCAGAGCAGAACUGCCUCUUGUUUUUCUACCUCAGCCAUGACCAGAUCUGUGAGCAAAGAAGCAGAGAAGCAGGCAGGACGGGGUGGGGGGGACACUCAGGCCACAGGAAGGAGGGUCUUUGGACCAGAAAAGGCAAGGGGCUGCGGGGAGAAGCAGGCCCCUUGGUAGAGCAUAGACGGGCUCCCGAGGCCUGCAGGUUGGUGGGCAACUGGAGCCUCCAGAAGGGGCUGAGGGACAGCAGGUGGGCCGGGGCUGAGGGCAUCAAUCCCCCUCCACCAGCAUUACCGAGUACCCGCCCUGAGCCAGGCUCUGCUGGACCCUGGGCAGGAAAGGAUGCUUUCAACACCCCUUUAUGCCUUCAGUGGGGAGAUCAGAGUCAGAGGGGGGUGGAGAAUGGCCAAGAGAUCGAUAACAAUAAAUGACCAGGACACAAUAGAAUAUGUUCCGAGUAGUCAGAAGUAGCCCAAGGAGGUGAGAGAGAAUGGAGGAGGGUAAAUUCAGAGGCUGGGUUUUGAUGUAUGAAUAGGAGUUUGUGAAACAGAUCCGGGAUGAGGCUGUAUGCUCUGGGCAGAGGAGACACGAUCAAGGAGCAGAGUCCUGGAGUAACAAAGAGCAUUCCAUUUUGUUUUGUUUUGUUUUGGCUGCACCCACAGCGUGUAGAAGUUCCCAGGCCAGGGAACAGCAGCAGCCACAGCAGUGACAACACUGAAUCCUUAACCUUCUGCGCCACAAGGGAAUUCCCAGCGAGCAUUCUGAGAGCCGGCUGCUGAGCGCUGCCCCAGUGGGGCGCUCAGUGGGGAGGAAGAUGGAUCGGGCUGGAUUGGACAUUGAAGCCACGUGCGCAAGGAGUGUGGCCUCCGGCCUGUGUGCAACAGGAAGAAGUCAGCCUGUUGGCGUUUGGCAGAGGCAGACAGGACAGAGAGAAGAAUGGAAGGACAGGACACCAGCAGGAGGCGGUAUAAAAGGAUAAAAGAGCAUUGGCAGACGACCUCCUGGCCCUGGGGGUGGAGCGGUCAUGUCUCCGGACCUGCUUCUUGGGUCCCAGAGGGUCCGAAGAAAUGACUCACCUCUACCACCUCCACCCACCAGUGCAUCUCAGCCGGACACGCAAUUCGCUCCCCCACGCAAAGCAGUAACGGGGGGGCGAGCUUUCCAAAGGUGCUGCCCCAGCUCAGCCUCCCUCCUUGGCACAGAGCUGGCCUGCGAGACCCCCGGUAAAUGACUGUUAGUGGACGAAUUCAUGAACGAACGUAAAACCCCAUCUCUAAGGCAGCCCCGAUUCUCCCCCGCGGCCAGCAUCCAUCUGCGAGGAAUCGGGCGUGUAUGUCUGAGCAGGGACCCCGGCUGGGAGCUGGGAGGGACUUUCUGGCCAGUGUGCAGGACCAGGGAGCAUGCGUCUGGCAGGGCCUCUCAACCACGGCUGGUGGCGGGGGCAGGGACUGGCCAGAAUCAUGGUGUAAAAUUUAAAACACAACCUUGACCCCAAGGAGUAAAGGAGGGGCUGAGACAGCGGGACCCUCCCAUUGGGGCAGACGGCCCAGGGCCACUCCCAUAGAGGGAUCGAUCCGCGUCUAGGGAGUCCCAUGGGGUCGUCCCCACCCCACCCCAAUACAUCUGGGACCACCCAGGGAGCCAAGGAUGGCUUCUACAAUCCAGAAAUUCCUCAGUUCCCAGACCACUGGGGACCAUCGCCGUCUGCCUCUCCCUCCUCCCAGAGCGAGGACCUCUAUGCUGGCCUCACGGGGCCUUUCCUCGUUGGCAUCUGCUGGGGUGGCCCCUGGUUUUCCAGCCAUGGGGCUUCCAGGGUCUCAGAGGCUCCGCACAGAAACCCCAGCCCAAUUUCCCAGACCGUGCAGUGGUCUUCUCGAGACCCUUGAGCGGGGAGGACACCAUGAGUUUUGGGCUUUGCAGAGCCAUGUUUGAAAAGCCACCACUUAGAGCUAAGCGACCUUGGAGAAGUCAGACUCCCAGGACUGAGGUGUCCUGUCUAUUCAGAGGAGGAGAUGACACCUGCUCCCCUCACCCCCACGCUGACACACCCACCGCAGGGAAGGGAGACAGGCUGGCAGCACCUGACACAGAGCUCCCCUGUCCCGGCCCCCAGAGCCCCCACCCCACCUGCUCUGUGGCCUGCUGAGCCCACCUUCUCAGCCCCCAACUAGGACCUGGGGCCUGACAAAGGAUUUCUGGGCUCCUGCUUAGAGGUACAAGUGAAGCCAGACUGAGAGCCCCUGACAAACACAUGAACCAAUGCCACCCUGACCCCAGGGGCUGGCCCCCCGGCCUCCCCUGUCCCCGAGCCGUGAUCCUGACACGCGAUCCUGGACACAGCGACGCCAGGGCGCAGCACAGCGUCAGGGCAACAGCAGCCCCUGAAGAGAACCCAGCCCAGCGCCACCGACCCCAGGAGCAAAGUAAUGCCUGGAAGAAUGGCACUGAACACUCAACAGACCCUCCAGGCUCUCAGUUCCACGGAAUCAUGCCAGCUUCCUUGUGAUUUUAUCGGAAAGGUGGGCAGUUUGGCUCCACCGCGACCCACAGGGCAACAUCUUCUGGGUAUCGAUUCUGCUGCAGUGAAAAGGAAGCCCUUCC